CCUACGGGAGGCAGCAGUGAGGAAUAUUGGGCAAUGGACGAGAGUCUGAACCAGCCAAGUAGCGUGAAGGAUGACUGCCCUAUGGGUUGUAAACUUCUUUUAUAUGGGAAUAAAAUGUUCCACGUGUGGGAUUUUGUAUGUAACAUAUGAAUAAGGAUCGGCUAACUCCGUGCCAGCAGCCGCGGUAAUACGGAGGAUCCGAGCGUUAUCCGGAUUUAUUGGGUUUAAAGGGAGCGUAGGUGGAUUGUUAAGUCAGUUGUGAAAGUUUGCGGCUCAACCGUAAAAUUGCAGUUGAAACUGGCAGUCUUGAGUACAGUAGAGGUGGGCGGAAUUCGUGGUGUAGCGGUGAAAUGCUUAGAUAUCACGAAGAACUCCGAUUGCGAAGGCAGUUCACUGGACUGCAACUGACACUGAGGCUCGAAAGUGCGGGUAUCAAACAGGAUUAGAUACCCCGGUAGUC
rnacentral:rRNA from 1 species